GAUGAACGCUAGCGAUAGGCUUAACACAUGCAAGUCGAGGGGCAGCGGGGUAGCAAUACCGCCGGCGACCGGCGCACGGGUGAGUAACACGUAUGCAACCUACCCAUAACUGUGGGAUAGCCCGUCGAAAGACGGAUUAAUACCGCAUAACACAGGGGCUCCACAUGGAGAUAUUUGUUAAAGAUUUAUUGGUUAUGGAUGGGCAUGCGCAGGAUUAGGUAGUUGGUGAAGGUAACGGCUCACCAAGCCAUCGAUCCUUAGGGGAACUGAGAGGUUAAUCCCCCACACUGGUACUGAGACACGGACCGGACUCCUACGGGAGGCAGCAGUGAGGAAUAUUGGUCAAUGGACGAGAGUCUGAACCAGCCAAAUCGCGUGAAGGAAGACGGUAUUAUGUAUUGUAAACUUCUUUUAUCAGGGAAUAAAGUGCGGCACGUGUGCUGUUUUGUAUGUACCUGAUGAAUAAG
rnacentral:rRNA from 1 species